UACCUUGUUGAUCCUGCCAGUAUUCAUUUGCUUGUCUCAAAGAUUAAUCCAUGCAUGUCUAAGUAUGAACUAAUUCAGACUGUGAAACUGCGGAUGGCUCAUUAAAUCAGUUAUAGUUUCUUUGAUGGUACCCUACUAAUCGAAUAACCGUAGUAAUUCUAGAGCUAAUACGUGCUCCAAGUCCUAACUCUUUGGAAGGGAUGCAUUUAUUAGAUAAAAGGCCUACGCGGGCUUGCCCGCUUCUCCGGUGAAUCAUGAUAACUCGACGGAUCGCACAACCCUUGUGCUGGCGAUGAUUCAUUCAAAUUUCUGCCCUAUCAACUUUCGAUGGUAGGAUAGAGGCCUACCAUGGUGGUGACGGGUGACGGAGAAUUAGGGUUCAAUUUCGGAGAGGGAGCCUGAGAAACAGCUACCACAUCCAAGGAAGGCAACAGGUGCGCAAAUUACCCAAUCCUGGCAUGGGGAGGUAGUGACAAUAAAUAACAAUACUGGGCUCAUCGAGUCUGGUAAUUGGAAUGAGUACAAUCUAAAUCCUUUAACGAGGAUCCAUUGGAGGGAAAGUCUGGUGCCAGAAGCCAUGGUAAUUCCAGCUCCAAUAGCGUAUAUUUAAGUUGUUGUAGUUAAAAAGCUCGUAGUUGGAUCUUGGGUCAUAAAGGUCAGUCUGCCUACUCGGUGUGCACCUUCCCUUCCGUCCCUUUUGCUGGCGGCGUGCUCUUGGCCUUAAUUGGCUGGGUCACGGUUCCGGCGUUGCUAAUUUUAAAAAAUUAGAUUGCUCAAAGCAAGCUUAUGCUCUGAAUACAUUAGCAUGGAAUAACGCGAUAGGAGUCUGGUCCUAUUGUGUUGGCCUUCUGGACCGAAGUAAUGAUUAAUAGGGACUGUCGGUGGCAUUCGUAUUUCAUUGUCAGAGGUGAAAUUCUUGGAUUUAUGAAAGAUGAAUCACUGCGAAAGCAUUUGCCAAGGAUGUUUUCAUUAAUCAAGAAUGAAAGUUGGGGGCUCGAAGACGAUCAGAUAUCGUCCUAGUCUCAACCAUAAAUGAUGCCAACCAGGGAUCGACGGAUGUUGCUCUAAGGACUCUGCCAGCACCUUCUGAGAAAUCAGAGUGUUUGGGUUUCGGGGGGAGUAUGGUCACAAGGCUGAAACUUAAAGGAAUUGAUGGAAGGGCACCACCAGGAGUGGAGCCCGUGGCUUAAUUUGACUCAACACGAGAAAACUUACCAGGUCUAGACAUAGUAAGGAUUGACAGAUUGAGAGCUCUUUCUUGAUUCUAUGGGUGGUGGUGCAUGGCCGUUCU
rfam:Picea glauca, whole genome shotgun sequence.